rnacentral:rRNA from 1 species
AGUGAACGCUGGCGGUAGGCCUAACACAUGCAAGUCGAACGGCAGCACAGUAAGAGCUUGCUCUUACGGGUGGCGAGUGGCGGACGGGUGAGGAAUACAUCGGAAUCUACUUUUUCGUGGGGGAUAACGUAGGGAAACUUACGCUAAUACCGCAUACGACCUACGGGUGAAAGCAGGGGAUCUUCGGACCUUGCGCGAUUGAAUGAGCCGAUGUCGGAUUAGCUAGUUGGCGUGGUAAAGGCCCACCAAGGCGACGAUCCGUAGCUGGUCUGAGAGGAUGAUCAGCCACACUGGAACUGAGACACGGUCCAGACUCCUACGGGAGGCAGCAGUGGGGAAUAUUGGACAAUGGGCGCAAGCCUGAUCCAGCCAUACCGCGUGGGUGAAGAAGGCCUUCGGGUUGUAAAGCCCUUUUGUUGGGAAAGAAAAGCAGCAGGCUAAUACCCCGCUGUUCUGACGGUACCCAAAGAAUAAGCACCGGCUAACUUCGUG